CGUGGCGGACGGGUGAGUAACGCGUGGGUAACCUGCCUCAUACAGGGGGAUAACGAUUGGAAACGAUUGCUAAUACCGCAUAAGCGCACAGUACCACAUGGUAUAGUGUGAAAAACUCCGGUGGUAUGAGAUGGACCCGCGUCUGAUUAGCCAGUUGGCGGGGUAACGGCCCACCAAAGCGACGAUCAGUAGCCGACCUGAGAGGGUGACCGGCCACAUUGGGACUGAGACACGGCCCAA
rnacentral:rRNA from 1 species